rnacentral:tRNA from 1 species
GUCAGGAUAGCUCAGUUGGUAGAGCAGAGGACUGGAA